CGAUCGUUACGAAAGGGCACAUGUGAGGAUGCCUUGGGAGUACUGGCCGAAGAAGGACGUGGAAGCCUGCGAUAAGCCUCGGGGAGCUGGCAAACAAGCUUUGAUCCGAGGAUUUCCGAAUGGGGAAACCUAAUGCCGUUCGACGGCAUUGCCCCGACCUUGUGUUGGGGCGGGUACCCGCUGAACUGAAACAUCUUAGUAAGCGGAGGAAAAGAAAUCAAUUGAGAUUCCGCAAGUAGUGGCGAGCGAAAGCGGAAAAGCCUAGGCUAUUUGAUGUAUGGAUUGGUUAGCAGAAGGAACCUGGAAAGGGCUGCCAUAGAGGGUGAAAGCCCCGUAUGCGAAAGCCAAUUUAUACUAUAGGAUAGUCCCCCCGCCGCAAGGCGGGGAGAAAGUAGGGCAGGACACGUGAAAUCCUGUCUGAAGAAGUCCCGACUUGUCGGGACAUAGGUGGAUCAUCAUCUAAGGCUAAAUACCAGUACUCACCGAUAGUGAACUAGUACCGUGAGGGAAAGGUGAAAAGUACCCCGCAACGGGGAGUGAAAUAGUACCUGAAACCAUGUGCCUACAAGGAGACGGAGCGUGCUUCGCUUUCGCUACGCAAAUGUAAAAUGCAAAAUGUAAAUCUCAAAAUUAUGGUAUCCGCUUUUAGCGGAUGAUUAUAAAACGUCCCGAAGGGACACAUAAAUUUUGACUUUUUACUUUUAAUUUUUGAUUUUGCGACGCGUGAGCGGAGCAUGUGACGUCGUGCCUUUUGGAGAAUGACCCAACGAGUUGCUUGGAUACGGCAAGCAGAAGACCUAUAAGGUAAUAUGCGCAGCGAAAGCGAGUCCUAAUCGGGCGUUUAGUCGUAUUCAGCAGACCCGAAACUGAGCGAUCCAUCCAUGAGCAGGCUGAAGCCCCGCGAAGGCGGGGUGGAGGGCCGAACCCACCAGAGUGGCAAAUCUGGGGGAUGACUUGUGGAUAGCGGUAAAAUGCCAAACGAGCUCAGAGAUAGCUGGUUCUCCCCGAAAUAUAUUUAGGUAUAGCCCGCGGUAAGAGGGAUUGGGGGUAGAGCACUGGAUGGAUAUCCGGGGAGCAAUCCUCGGUAUCCAAUCAAACUCCGAAUACCAAUUACCCGUUUCCGCG
rnacentral:rRNA from 1 species